rnacentral:rRNA from 1 species
CUGUAAGCCUGUGAAGGUGUGCUGUGAGGCAUGCUGGAGGUAUCAGAAGUGCGAAUGCUGACAUAAGUAACGAUAAAGCGGGUGAAAAGCCCGCUCGCCGGAAGACCAAGGGUUCCUGUCCAACGUUAAUCGGGGCAGGGUGAGUCGACCCCUAAGGCGAGGCCGAAAGGCGUAGUCGAUGGGAAACAGGUUAAUAUUCCUGUACUUGGUGUUACUGCGAAGGGGGGACGGAGAAGGCUAUGUUGGCCGGGCGACGGUUGUCCCGGUUUAAGCGUGUAGGCUGGUUUUCCAGGCAAAUCCGGAAAACUAAGGCUGAGGCGUGAUGACGAGGCACUACGGUGCUGAAGCAACAAAUGCCCUGCUUCCAGGAAAAGCCUCUAAGCAUCAGGUAACAUCAAAUCGUACCCCAAACCGACACAGGUGGUCAGGUAGAGAAUACCAAGGCGCUUGAGAGAACUCGGGUGAAGGAACUAGGCAAAAUGGUGCCGUAACUUCGGGAGAAGGCACGCUGAU